rnacentral:rRNA from 1 species
UACGAGUGCCCCAAGCGUUAUCCGGAAUCAUUGGGCGUAAAGGGUGUGUAGGUGGUUUCGCUAGUCUUCUGUCAAAUCCUCGGGCUCAACCCGAGAUCUGCAGAGGAAACGGCGAGACUCGAGGGGUGCGAGAGGCAGAUGGAACUCAUGGAGUAGGGGGUGAAAUCCGUUGAUAUCAUGGGGAACACCGAAGGCGAAGGCAUCUGCUGGCGCAUUCCUGGACACUGAAACACGAAAGCGUGGGGUAGCGAACGGG